UUUCCCCAGCUCAGGCGUGCAGCAAGGACGCCCCAGAUUGCGUCAGGCGGCCGGCUGUGGGCACGGACGAGGGCACCGGUCGUCUCCCCAUCAGCCCCUUUACGGCUUGCCUUCAAGAACCAUGGCGGGCCGGCCCCAGGAGGGUGUCUCUCAAGCAGUCCUGCCAGUGCACCUGGCCGAGUCACUGCCACCCCAGGCAGCACGGAUUCUUUACCAGGUCCAGUGCAGAACACGUCCAGAAGGAGGGCUCUGGGCGGCGUAAAUGCCCGUUUCUAGGGUUUCGCCUGGGAGCACAUACUCUGGAGAAGCGUCCGAGGCACCUCCGCCUUCCGCACAGGUGCCUCACGCUGUUGGCGCGCGUGAGCAAAUGGAGAAACUGAGUCACGGGGCUGACGAGGUGUUCUGCGGAAGCUGAGAGACUGAGUCAGACCGGGCGUUCAGAGCUUGCGAGUCACGUGAGGGCUACGCCCCAGGCCAGGUGUGGGACUUGCUGAACCCAAAUAGGCUCCGGGAAAAGCCGGUCAGAGCGCUUGGAACUGCCGUUGUCACUUUGGCAGUGGUGUCUCGACGUGCGGAGAGAAGCCAUAAAGACAGGAAAGUCAGGGUACACGAGUUCAAGCCCUGGUCCGGGAAGAUCCCACAUGCUGUGGAGUAGCUGAGCCCGUGCACCGCAACUACUGAGCCUGCGUUCUGGAGCCCGCGAGCCACAACUGCUGAGCCUGUGUGCCGCAACUACUGAAGCCCAAGCGCCUAGAGCCUGUGCUCUGUGAUGAGAGAAGACACCACAACGAGAAGCACGCACACCGCAACGAAGAGUAACCCCCACUCGCGACAACUAGAGAAAAGCCCUCGUGCAGCAAUGAAGACCCAAUGCAGCCAUAAAUAAAUAAAUAAAUAAUUUAAAAAAAAAACGAUUAAAACAACAAAAACAAGAUUCAUGAGGAAAAAGAUGGGGCAUCAUAUACUAAUGAUAGAUGGAUUGGGGUAUGGUGAUUCUUUUCUCUAUUUUCAAGGCUUAUGAAAUGUAAUUUUUAACAAUAAAGAGUUACUUUUAAA